rnacentral:lncRNA from 1 species
CCCUUCGGGACUUAUCACAUUUAUGCACUUUCACAUCCAUCACGUUGGCCACUCGGCCCUGUCACAUAUAUACACUUUCACAUUCAUCACAUCGGCCAUUAGGCCUUAUUACAUAUAUACACUUUCACAUUCAUCACAUCGGCUAUUAGGCCUUAUCACAUAUAUACACUUUCACAUUCAUCACAUCGGCUAUUAGGCCUUAUCACAUAUAUACACUUUCACAUUCAUCACAUCGGCUAUUAGGCCUUAUCACACAU